UACGAAGGGGGGCUAGCGUUGCUCGGAAUCACUGGGCGUAAAGCGCACGUAGGCGGCUUCUUAAGUCAGGGGUGAAAUCCUGGAGCUCAACUCCAGAACUGCCUUUGAUACUGAGGAGCUUGAGUCCAGGAGAGGUGAGUGGAACUGCGAGUGUAGAGAUGAAAUUCGUAGAUAUUCGCAAGAACACCAGUGGCGAAGGCGGCUCACUGGCCCGGUACUGACGCUGAGGUGCGAAAGCGUGGGGAGCAAACAGG
rnacentral:rRNA from 1 species